UACGUAGGGAGCAAGCGUUGUCCGGAAUCAUUGGGCGUAAAGCGCGCGCAGGCGGUCCUUUAAGUCUGAUGGGAAAGCCCACGGCUCAACCGUGGAAGGUCAUUGGAAACUGCAGGACUUGAGGCUGGGAGGGGCUGGUGGAAUUCCCUGUGUAGCGGUGAAAUGCGUAGAGAUGGGGGAGAACACUCGUGGCGAAGGCGGCCAGCUAGACCAGUUCUGACACUGAGGCGCGACAGCGUGGGGAGCAAACAGG
rnacentral:rRNA from 1 species